GACGGAGGAUGCAAGCGUUAUCCGGAAUUAUUGGGCGUAAAGCGUCCGCAGGUGGACAUACAAGUCUGCUGUCAAAGUGCAGAGCUUAACUCUGUAAAGGCGGUGGAAACUGUAGGUCUUGAGUAUGGUAGGGGUAGAGGGAAUUCCCGGUGUAGCGGUGAAAUGCGUAGAUAUCGGGAAGAACAUCGGUGGCGAAGGCGCUCUACUGGACCACAACUGACACUCAGGGACGAAAGCUAGGGGAGCGAAUGGG
rnacentral:rRNA from 1 species